rnacentral:lncRNA from 1 species
UAUUAAAUAUAUUGAUCACGAUAAUCUUCUACCUUUACCGUCUUUAAUUUCUAAAAAAUCAAAUCAUCUUUCUUCGAUACAAAGUAUCGCGAAUAAAGAAAAUUAUGAAGUAAUUAAUGUUUCUUCGGAUGAAGGUAUCAAAGAAAUUGAUAUUUCUUCUGUUUUAAAAAAAUCAAUUGAGGUUAAAACAUAUCCACUGGCGGAACCAACAAAAUGAAAAAGAAACUUCUUGAGAAAUACGAUAUACGAUGAUUGGCCAUCAGAUUAUAAAGUAUCAACGCAUUAUGCUGACUUAUUAUCGAAUAAAUACGUGAAAGACCAUGCUGAUGAAUUUCCUACAACUUUUUCAAGCUUGCGCGAAUCGUCAAAUAAAUAAUGAAAAAUCUGAUAGAGAUGAGAAGACAAAUAAUAGCGCAACAUACAGUAUAGAAAAUGUUUAUCUCUUAAGUAGAUUCAUUAGAAAUGUUAAAUCUUCUCGAUGAAUAUCAAUUGAAGUUAUUCAAAUCAAAAACAUUGUGUAGUAUUAUGGGAACUGUAAAUAAAGAAAUGGAAUGAGAAUGAAAAAUGAGAAA